CGUAGGUUCAGGCUCCGGUCUGCGUCUCUGCGUGCGCACGUAGCUGCGGGUGCGUGGGAAGCACAGAGUGACUGGUGGUGAUGUAAUGCAGUAGGUAAGACGGAGAGCCCCAGAGUCAGCUGUCCUUGGGGUUUAAAUUUUGGCUUCACAUUCUCAGCUGUGUGAUUUUGACCUUGUCAACUGAUGUCACCGAGCUUCAGAUUCCUCACCUGAAAAAUGAGACAGUAGCAAUCGUUGCCUCUCUGGAUGAUGGUCCUCUGCAUGUGACUUGAGUCUUCCUCAGCACAGUGGCCUCAGAGUGGUGGCAUUUUUUACAUGGCAGGUCUCUCCUAGGAUACAGGAAGUGCUAUAGGACGUGUCCUCCUAGACCCAGGAGAAGGCUAGAGCAGCCGGGAGGAAGAGACGGUGUGAGAGGAGUGGCAGUCCUGUCCCAAGUUCCAGGUGCCCCCUCGCCUGGCUUCUCCUGGGUUCUUCUGUCCUAAUUUGGCCCCUCCAGCUCCAGCUCCUGCUCCUGCCCUGAGGGUGGAGGUGGAAGUGCUCUGGCCUCUUCCAGAUUCCCAGACGCAUUGGUGCUCCAGCUGCCCCAUGAGGAGCUGCACCCCUCCUGAAGAGGUAGAGGGAAACUGAGGCUUAGAGGGGACGUGUGGUCCUCAAGGCUGUACUUUGACUUUUCCAGCUCUCCCAGGGCCCACGUGCACUGCACCUGCAUGUGUCCCAGCCCUGACACUGCCGCAUCUCUGGGGCUGCCUGCUUCAUUGGGUUCACCCCUUAUCACCUCACUGCCACUAUGUCCUCCAGCUAGCACCCUCCCCACAGCAGCACCAGCUUCCAUCCCAGAACUCUGGUCCCACUGUGUCUGGCUCUCAUCAGGCCUUUCCACAAGCCCAGGAUCCCAGUACUACUGGAGGUGCCCAUGGGGCCUUAGCUUUCUUUAUUCCAUCAUAUUUAUUGUGUCCCUUCACUCUCACAAAAUCACCUUUUUUUUUAUCAGUACUGGGGACUGAACUCACGACCGCCUGCUUGCAAGGCAGGUGCUUAUGCCACUGAGCUAAAUCCCCAGCCCCCACAAAAUCAUUUUUAAGCAUUUCCCUUUGUUAGAAUUCAACGUGGCCUGAGUUCAAAUCAAUCCACUCAGUGGCUCUCAACCUUGUCCACUUAACCUCAGUUGACCCCCAAAAGUCCUUGUCCCUAGCAUUCCCUGCUGCCUCAGGCCGCCCUGCUGUGUCCAGACACUCCAUCUCUUCCAUGUGGUUCAGGCAACAGCUGCUUCAGGGCCCCCAAGCCAGGUGCCCUGGGCUGCGCUCUGACCCUGAUCUCUGUACAGUAGGUUGAUGGGGUGAGUUUCCGUCCACACUCGACUCCAUAGGAACCUAGGCUCAACCAUAAGCCAGUGGAGGGUCAGGUGACACAUUGGCUAUAGGGUCUCCUGUGGCCUUUCCCUGGCCUGGGACAUGCAUGUCCUUAUGGCUGAUCAGCAGGCAGUGCAUGCAGGAACAUUGAGAGGAAAAGGCAUUUUGACCCUAGGCCAAGCAAGCCUGCUUACUUGAGUUUUAUCUGGAGGUGGGAAGGGCACCUUCCUCCUUUUUGCUUGGGUGUGGGCAUCCCUGGCUCUCAGGACAGGUGAUACCACUGGUGCGCACAUCUGCCCCGCAUUCAGUGGAUGUGAACUUGGAUCACUCAUUUUCUUUCUUUUUUCUAGGGGGAAGAGCAUAGGAACCAUACUUUGGCUACAGGAGGCUAGAUGCAAGGAAUGACUUUCCUAGUAGUGAGAACUGUGGGCCAUUUGACUAGAUUCCAGGACAGGUUCUAGACCCAGGGGACUUUCUUUGUUGUCCUGAGGGACUUAGGGGUGACGGCAUCUCCCAGGGGUGGAUGAGAUGAACCCUUUGUCUUUUGUGUCCUUGAGAUUUCCAGAGCUUCCAGGGUCCCUGGGGCUUCUGGGGGAGGAAGACCUUGCACACCCAGGGCAGGAGGGCGGAAGAGUCCCACUGGAGAGGUCCAUGUGGCAAGAACUGACCCCUAAUCUCUUUGGCUGGGUCUGUGCUGCCCAGAUGAAGGGAGGCUGUCAUGCCCAGCUGGCUCCUCCGGCUCUAGGAGUCACUUGGGGGCCACUCCCCCCGUCACUCGAAUGCUGCGGUUAUUUUUAGCACUGGGAUGUGCAGAACAUGCUCAGAGAAACAGAGUGGAAAAUCUGACACUCAGACUCACUGGGAGGAGACCCAGCUCCUCUACCCGGGCACCGCUCACGUGUUUGAUUUGCAUCUCUCACGUUUCUUGGAACAGCCAGACUUUGGAUUCCAGCAGGCUCCCUGGGAAGACGUGCAGCCUCAGGUCCACGAGUGGCCCUUGGACUUGGCCACCAGCCAUGGCUCCUGAUCAGACCUGUCAUGUUUCCACUGACCCUCAGAAAGAGACAGUGCAGGUCUUAGGCCUGCCGUUGGGUGGGGGAACACACACAGGCCCAAGGAGGGUGUCCAGGGGCCUGCUUGGGAGGGGUACUGGGCAGAGGGGACAGCUCCCUGCCUGGGCGGCGGCAGAGGUUGUGGUGGCGGCGGUGUAGUGGAUAUUUAAUUAAAAAUUACUUCAUGUU